rnacentral:tRNA from 1 species
GGGAUAGGUUGUGGCUCAAUGCUAGAGCUUCUGUUUUACAUACAGAGGGUCCCGGGUUCAAACCCUGGCAUCCCCA